UAGGGAAUCUUCCACAAUGGGCGCAAGCCUGAUGGAGCAACGCCGCGUGUGUGAUGAAGGCUUUCGGGUCGUAAAGCACUGUUGUAUGGGAAGAAAUGCUAAAAUAGGGAAUGAUUUUAGUUUGACGGUACCAUACCAGAAAGGGACGGCUAAAUACGUGCCAGCAGCCGCGGUAAUACGUAUGUCCCGAGCGUUAUCCGGAUUUAUUGGGCGUAAAGCGAGCGCAGACGGNUGAUUAAGUCUGAUGUGAAAGCCCGGAGCUCAACUCCGGAAUGGCAUUGGAAACUGGUUAACUUGAGUGUUGUAGAGGUAAGUGGAACUCCAUGUGUAGCGGUGGAAUGCGUAGAUAUAUGGAAGAACACCAGUGGCGAAGGCGGCUUACUGGACAACAACUGACGUUGAGGCUCGAAAGUGUGGGUAGCAAACAGGAUUAGAUACCCUGGUAGUCCACACCGUAAACGAUGAAUACUAGGUGUUAGGAGGUUUCCGCCUCUUAGUGCCGAAGCUAACGCAUUAAGUAUUCCGCCUGGGGAGUACGACCGCAAGGUUG
rnacentral:rRNA from 1 species